CCCCCCAUUAUCAGUUACCCCACCCUUAUCAGUCCCCUUAUCACCUUAACCCUGUUGUUAUCAGUCCCCUUAUCACCAUAACCCCUUAUCAUUUCCCUUAUCACCUUAACCCCUUAUCAGUUCCCUUAUCACCCCCCUUAACUCCCCCCCCCUUAUCAACCCCCCCCAUCACCUUAACCCUGUUGUUAUCAUUUCCCUUAUCACCUUAACCCCUUAUCAGCUCCCUUUAACCCCUUAUCAGUUCCCUUAUCACCAUGACCCCUUAUCAUUUCCCUUAUCACCUGAACCCCUUAUCAUUCCCCUUAUCACCUUAACCCCUUAUCACUUCCCUUAUCACCAUAACCCCUUAUCAGUUCCCUUUAACCCCUUAUCAGUCCCCUUAUCACCUUAACCCCUUAUCAGUCCCCUUUACCCCCUUAUCAUCCCUUAUCUCCUUAACCCCGUUGUUAUCAGUUACGGUUACCGUGGCCGUGACAGUCGCUCCAACCUCCAUCUCUUGGGGUCGGGGGAGUUGGUUUAUUUCAUCGCCUGCGUCGUGGUGCUGCUCAGUGUCCCCUUAAAGAGACAGCGCCAC
rnacentral:lncRNA from 1 species